rnacentral:lncRNA from 1 species
UGGAAGUGUGCCUGCCAUUGCCUUUCCCUGCCUGGUUUCCAGCAGUCCCAUCACAUGGCUCCAAAAACAGCAUCAGGGUUUUUUUCUAGAACCCAAAUUUAUAAACAAGGGGCAAUGUCCUCUGACAAGGAAAUGGACCUUGGCAAACGUGUGUCAGGAGAGGAUGACUUGGAGGUGUCCACCGUGUUUCUUACUGAAGAUGUCUAGAAGUCAAUUGGGGUCAAGGAACAAGCCUCUACUCACAUGCAUGUGGGCAAAUGAAGUCACAGAACAAAUAACCUACCCUGCAUCCAGGCACAGAGUCCAGGGACACCCCCUGCUGCUGCCUCACCUAAGAGAAAGUGGCCCAAGAAGCACUGGCCCGGUGCCUGCUGAUGCCAGGAGCCCUCUGCUACUGCCUGACACAAGCAUCCUUCGCUUCCCCCUCCCAGGCCCUCCCCGAAAACGUGGGCCACAGAUACCACUCCCUAUGCCACUGAGCCCCACAUUUCCCAUCCCCCAAGCCACUCCCACCAGCCCCAGAGCUUUCCUACAUUUAUGAUUUGUCCAAAAAUGUGAUGCCCUUCAGCCCCCAGAAGGUCAUCCUCCAGGCUGUGAUCAUCACACAGGGGGUCCCGCAUGGGGUCCUCACAGGCCUUCAACCCAGCACAAAUCGUGGCCUGGUUUGACCUUUGAAAUACCUCAACAUCUAAAAUUCAG